GGCAGGCCCUCCCAGAGAGGUUUUUGUAUGAGCCUGUGUCACUGUGUUGUGUUCGGCGGAGGGACCCAGCUGACCGUCCUAGGUCAGCCCAAGUCCGCACCCUCGGUCACUCUGUUCCCGCCAUCCUCUGAGGAGCUGAGCAGCAACAAGGCCACACUGGUGUGUCUCAUCAGUGACUUCUACCCCGGCAGCAUGACGGUGGCCUGGAAGGCCAAUGGCAACACCGUCACCCAGGGCGUGGAGACCACCAAGCCCUCGAAACAGAGCAACAACAAGUACGCAGCCAGCAGCUACCUGAGCCUGACGCGUGAUCAGUGGAGCUCCACCAGCAGAUACAGCUGCCAGGUCACACACGAGGGGAGCACCGUGGAGAAGACAGUGGUCCCCGCAGAGUGUUCCUAGGACUCUGAGUCCUCUCACUCUCAGGGGCUAGAGCCUCAGGAUCCCCAAGAAGAUCUCCUUACCCCAUCUUUCUUCUCCCUGCACCUAAUCAACUCUCAAUAAAAUGUUCUUAUUGUCAA